UGAGGAACAUGACCUUCGGCGGGGAAUAGCCGGCCCAACGGCCGGGUAAUACCGCGUACGACCUUUUGGGGACAUCCCCGAGGGGUGAAAGCAGCAAUGCGCCGAAAGAGUGCCUCGCGGCCUAUCAGCUAGUUGGUGGGGUAAUGGCUCACCAAGGCGACGACGGGUAGCUGGUCUGAGAGGACGACCAGCCACACUGGAACUGAGAUACGGUCCAGACUCCUACGGGAGGCAG
rnacentral:rRNA from 1 species